rnacentral:rRNA from 1 species
AGGAACAAUCAGCUAUGAGAUGGACCCGCGGCGCAUAGGCUAGUUGGUGGGGGAACGGCCUACCAAGGCGACGAUGCGUAGCCGACCUGAGAGGGUGAUCGGCCACAUUGGGACUGAGACACGGCCCAAACUCCUACGGGAGGCAGCAGUAGGGAAUCUUCGGCAAUGGACGAAAGUCUGACCGAGCCACGCCGCGUGAGCGCAAAAGGCU